UUUCCUCAACAUUCCUUAUGAAUGGUCUCAUUCAAGGUGUAAAGGGCCUGCUGUCUUUUCUGAGUGCCCCCCUCAUAGGCACUCUGUCUGAUGUGUGGGGGAGGAAACCCUUUCUCCUCGGCACUGUGUUCUCCACCUGCUUCCUAAUUCCACUGAUGAGGAUCAGCCCUUGGUGGUACUUGGCGAUGAUUUCUGUGUCUGGAGUCUUCUUUGUCACAUUCUCUGUGAUAUUUACCUAUGUAGCUGAUGUCACUCAAGAACACGAGUGAAGUACUGCUUAUGGAUGGGGGAAGACAGAUGUGUACAAGAGGACAGGCUGAAGCCCUUGAGGUCAGAGUGUCAGGACUGGAGUGGCUGGGGGCGGGGAGGGAGAUGCCCUGUGAGCAUCUGUGGGUGUGUGUCUGGGACGUGAACUUGCUGAGGCACGUGACAGUUGUUGAGGGGUGACAUUUUCCCUUCUUCUCUUCUAGGUUCGUUGGCUACCCUAGUCAUACUUAAAUUGACAUCAAAGAGAUUACCAGGGGAAAACGUUUAAUUUUGUACAGAGCUCCACAAAGACCUGAGAGACCCAAAGGCAGUUGGGCAGUUGGAGCUGGUGUGCCAUCCUGCACUGAGGAGAAAGGGGGGUGGGGCCUGGGGCUUUAGAGGGAAAGAAAACCGCUCACAGGACGAGGAGAAGAGCAAAUGUUUGACAAGAAGUGGAAGAAACGCGGAAUAAGUUGCAGGAGUCUGACCUCACCUUCAUCCACAAGAUCGGAGUUCAGGAAAGGAAUGCUCUGGCUAACUGGAUGCAGGCUCGGUAUUGGGAAACAAGGAUGAUGCAGCAGAGCAGGGAGAACGCCUACCUGAAAUACAAAUACUGUGCGUGAUGAAAGGGGAGAUGCUGCCCGUGGGAUCCAUGAGGUGGGAACCGAUGCCAGGAAGGCCUGAGUUGCAGAAGCCUGUGUGGCAAGGGUAAUCAUUUUGUAAUCUGAAGACUUCCUUGAUCUCCAACAACCAGGCUCCAGUGAGUUUAUAUCUAGUCAAGAUAUGAAUGUUUCUGCCUGGUGGUCUGAAUUCUUUCCCUGCCCAUCCUGUCCCCUGUGCUUUGUCUCUCCUGGUAUCUCCCCAAUAAACUGUUCAUGGUUCUGUCUCUGUAACAUCU